UACGAAGGGGGCUAGCGUUGUUCGGAAUUACUGGGCGUAAAGGGCUCGUAGGCGGCCAACUAAGUCAGACGUGAAAUCCCUCGGCUUAACCGGGGAACUGCGUCUGAUACUGGAUGGCUUGAGAUUGGGAGAGGGAUGCGGAAUUCCAGGUGUAGCGGUGAAAUGCGUAGAUAUCUGGAGGAACACCGGUGGCGAAGGCGGCAUCCUGGACCAACACUGACGCUGAGGAGCGAAAGCCAGGGGAGCAAACGGG
rnacentral:rRNA from 1 species